rnacentral:rRNA from 1 species
AACGAACGCUGGCGGCAGGCCUAAAACAUGCAAGUCGAACGGGUGUAGCAAUACAUCAGUGGCGCACGGGUGAGUAACGCGUGGGAACGUGCCCUUCAGUACGGGACAACGUCGGGAAACUGACGCUAAUACCGUAUAAUGACUCCGGUCCAAAGAUUUAUCGCUGAAGGAGCGGCCCGCGUCUGAUUAGCUAGUUGGUGAGGUAAUGGCUCACCAAGGCUACGAUCAGUAGCAGGUCUGAGAGGAUGAUCUGCCACACUGGGACUGAGACACGGCCCAGACUCCUACGGGAGGCAGCAGUUAGGAAUAUUGGACAAUGGGCGAAAGCCUGAUCCAGCCAUGCCGCGUGUGUGAUGAAGGCCCUAGGGUUGUAAAGCACUUCGUUGGGUAGUGAGUAAUAG